rnacentral:lncRNA from 1 species
CGCAGAGUAUCAGAGUCUGAGUAUUAUUUAGUUUUUCGCAGAAUAUCAGAAACUUUCAGUUCUCAGAAUCGAAGCCCCUUUGCUGUUUAAUACGCAUCUUCUCAUUAUAUAAAAAUCCCCCUGAAGCUCAGACGGCACAACAUUAGCAGGGAUCUCAGAGUUGUGAUGGACGUUUCUUCUCUUCAGCUCAACACAAGAUAGAGAUGGAGUGUAGAAAUGAGAUAACACAGAGAAAACUGCUGGAGUAUCAGAAUCCAGAUAGGAAAUAAAUCAACAGGACAGAGAGAAAAAUGGAGGCCAGAAAUGAGACACAAACCAGUGAAACACAAGAGAAAAGCAGACGGACGCUUGUUAGAUGUGACAGUAUGAAGAUAAAAAAACCAGACUUCUCACGUGAUCCAGACGGACCUGUAAACUUU